rnacentral:lncRNA from 1 species
CAUAUUGUCUCCAGACAUGUUUGUUACAGAGAUUCAACUUUUCACAAAUUUAAUCUCUAAACAAUUUCUUUUCCUACUUAGGUACGGUGAAAAAAACCAUCCAUUUGUAGUUGCUUCUUUUAAAGGCAGAUGGGAGGAAUGGGAGUUAACUCAACAAAUCAGUUAUGCUGCUAAUAGAGCCUCAUUAGACUACUCCUCUGGCAUGUCCUCUGAUGAAGAAAGUGGUAGCAUGGAAUCUCAGAUCAUCCCUAAAGUCAGCAAUCCCAAGAGUGUCUAUCAGGCUGAAAACUUGAAAUGGCCCUGCCCAUCUUGGCUCUACACCACCAGCCGGAAGAAUGUGGCAGAGGGCCGUUCAGGAGUCCUAGGAAACCGGGUUGCUUAUCAAGCUGCACGUAGGAUCCCCAAGUGCUGCAGGCCUGUCACUGGGCACCGCAGGGACAGGAUGGAUGCCAGCAGCAGCAGAAUGGAGGCCAGCAGCACUUUCUGCUACUCAGCAAAAUGCUUAUUUGAGGCACCAGGAGCCCACUGAGCCACGUGCCCAAACCCUACUCUAGACACUCAGAACCCAAGUGUCAAGGGCAAGGUAAAGAGGUGAUUUUUAAGAUUUUUUUUCUUUCCCAUGCCACUUCUUCCCAUCCCUCUCAGAGAUAAUAUAGAA